rnacentral:rRNA from 1 species
UACGAAGGGGGGCUAGCGUUGCUCGGAAUCACUGGGCGUAAAGCGCACGUAGGCGGAUUGCUAAGUCAGGGGUGAAAUCCUGGAGCUCAACUCCAGAACUGCCUUUGAUACUGGCAACCUUGAGUCCGGGAGAGGUGAGUGGAACUGCGAGUGUAGAGGUGAAAUUCGUAGAUAUUCGCAAGAAACACCAGUGGCGAAAGCGGCUCACUGGCCCGGUACUGACGCUGAGGUGCGAAAGCGUGGGGGAGCAAACAGG